GAACAGACCAGAGGAACAGGACAGAGAGCAGCUGUGGCUGGCCGCCCCACCCACAUCUCCAGCCCCAAGGGCUUUCUCAAGUGUUCUGCAGUGCUCAGAGCCCUAGAAGACCUGGUAGGCGAGUGGUUGGUGGGAGCGGGGAAAGGAGAAGGGAUCCAACUCAGGACUUUGCGCUUGUGAAUCAGGUGAGGUGCCACUGAGCUAAAUCUCCAGCCCAACUGAGUUUUAACUUACAAUUUUGGGGAGAAACAUUCAGCCUAUAACAAGAAUCAAAGGGAUUUUUGUCUUUAUCUGUAUAGAAUUUUUUAUAAUAAGAAUGUAUUCAUGUGUACUUACACAACUAAAAAUGAUUUUUAAAAGAAUGGGAAAGGGGAACAAGACUAUUUGUCUUCCUGAGACGGACAAAUAAAUCGAUAGAACUGACUGAGGAAUUGUGUGUUGGGAGGGAUGGAAUUUUUCCCUGAAGAAAUGAGCACAGUACUCUCCCUUAUGCCUCUAUGUGCAAAAUCAGCUAACUCCUUGGUACUUAGGUCCCACAUAUUUCCAUUGGCUGUGCAGCUCCAGACCUGUCCCAAAGGAGUGUGGCAGCUCACUAGCUCUAUGCCUACUCGCUCAGAAUGUGGGAUGUACAAGCCUGGGGACAAUUAUUCUGGGUGCUAAGCACCCGGGAACCUCAGUGGAACAUGAUCAUCUAUAGUCAACAACUCAAUGUCAGAUCAUUUAUCUUGGCUUUGCUCUAGGGGGGGUUCAUUAUACAGAGAAUAUAAAGCACUUCAUUUUUAUACAGCUUAACAUUUAUGAGUCUACGGCAUCUACAGUUUUAAAAUAGAGACUCUGGAAUAGUUUGAACAUACUAAAUUAGCAUUUUUAACAAAUCAACCAAAGAGAAUUUGUGAGUGACAAGGAUAGUGAGAAUAUAGCAUCACUCAGGCUUAAGAAUUGAGAGACAGUAACACUGAGUCAGGCUGAACAAACAAACAAAAACAAAGCAGGCAACUGGGGAUAGGAAGCAAUCUGGAAAUAAGAAAUGUCUACACAUCAGGCUAAGUGUCAUUACCUCAGUAGAUUCACUUCGCUUCAUCGUUUAUCUUUUUGUUUUUCCAGAUGAGGGGUUAAAUGGGGGAAGUAUGAAUGAGCCCUUCAUCCUCAGAGAAUGUCUGGCUUAAAAUAUUAACCACAGAAACUUUUAUUUUCUUCUGAAACAAUAUUUUUCAUCUCAAUCCAGCUAACAUGAGCGUUUAAAAAAUAUUUUGCUGGCAAAGAUUACAAUCGCAGAUGCACUGGGCCAGGCAUCGCAUUCCCUUCAUCAUUAACUUGAUGAGUGGAGACUUCAUACAGAGGAUCGUAUGCAAGGACCAAGUGUACUGAAAAUGGCAUUAUUGUCUUGGCUCUUGGAAAAUUAUAAUGAGAAAAUAUGAUCAGAUAUUGAGUCCCAGAUCUCAUCACAACAAUUGGAUAAUUUUUUCUGUAUAUGUAAUGUGACUACUGUGACCUAUCAUUUGUAGGUUCUUGGUAGAUUAAAUAAGACACAAUUAAAAUUCUGUUGUUUCAGUUGUUGAAUCCAGGUCUCUCUCUCUCACACAUACAUGGGUGCACACGCACAUGUAUACAUAUUUAAUUGUAUGUUUCUAUAUGCUUGAAACUUUUCGCAGUAAAAAAGUGGAGAAAAACUAUUGCUUCCUUUAAAAUGUCUUUCAGAUUAAUCUUUACUGUCUUCUUCCUCAGACUUCACUAGCUGUGGCUGACAAUUCCCAGCAGGCUUCCCUGACUCCCUGGGAGGCUCAAGCUAUAUAGAGCAGCCAUUUGUCUCUUCUACAGCCAAUCAUGCUCCUCCCCCGCCAUGUCUUCCCAGGUUUCGCCACAAAAAGCCAAACCUCUCGGUUCAGCUUCCCUGGUUCUCAGUAUCCAGCCCCUCCCUCCGGUUUCAUCUUGGUCCUCCCUGACUGGUGGGCUCGCCUUCUCAACACUUUGUUUUCUCCUCUGCAUCUCUGCUCUGGGAAUCCCUACCAGGAGUGUUCUUCCCUGUGGCCUUUACUUGUUUAAAUUGGACCUAUUCAAGGCACACCCUAAAUCUUGCUUCUUUCAUUCAUUCUCUGUCCUCAACAUCUGAAGUUUGAACCACAAUCAUCAAACCUCCUGCCACUUAGACACAAACAGAAUAUCUACAUUAGUAACCAGCAACAACAAUAACAACAAAACAAUAACAAACACUCCUCAAUGAUUCUCUCUCAGCUACUUAAGAACCAGGCAAAGCCAGGCAUAAUGACACACAUCUAUGAUCCCAGCACUCUGGGAGGCUGAGACAGAAGGAUCAUACUUUCUAGUCCAGCCUGGGCAACUCAGGAACUAAAAACGUCCUGCCUCAAAACACAUUUUUUUUUGUUUAAAAAAG
rnacentral:lncRNA from 1 species